rnacentral:lncRNA from 1 species
CGUAAUAGGGGUAUUUAUAGGUGAGGAGCGCAUUAGAAAACAGGCCCAAGUCCAGCGUACCACGGGCCAGCGGUUUAAGUGUGUCGCCCGGCGGUUUGCCUCCAAACCGCCCGACGGCAAUCGCCACCGCCCAGCGGUUUCCCUCAGGAUCGCCCAGCGUCAAUCGCCAUGCUUACUCCUCGUCCUGGACCGCCCGGCGGUUUGAGUGUGCCGCUGGGCGAUACGUCGACUCUUCAAAUCGUCAUUUUUCUGCUCU